GUAGCUUUAGCAGUAAAGUUGCCGUUAGCAGUGCAUGUUUGAAUGGUGAUAUACUUAAACUUGCUUUAUUUUUGCCAAGAACAGAGAUAGUGCCUAUAAUUGAUAUCCCAGUAGCUGCUACAUGUAAAAACAAAGAAUUCAUAUGACACUUGUUUUGUUAUAUACAAAGUGCCAUAAAUGUUGGGUGCUAUCUUUAUUGCUGAGCAUGAAUUGACUUUACUUACACUUUAUUUAAUAUUAACGAAUCAUUUUCUGUAUUGUUACCAGAUUUUAAUGUAGGUUUUAUUGCCACAUGAUGCAUAUCACUAACUUAUUGAGUUCUAUAUUUAGAUUGUAAGCUCGUUUGGGCAGGGCUCUUUUCACACACUGUCCCAGUAUGCCAAUCAUAUUUUGUUAGAAUUUAGUUUUUGUCUUG